GUUAGAACAGCCAAGGCAUGCAUUUCUCUUUAAGCAAAGUGAGUCUUGUGGGUCUAACAGUAUGUUUAAAGACUUUGGUGACUUCCAGUGUGACAUCACAUUGUCACACUAGGUUUACAUGUUUCUAAAGAGCUCAGUGAGGAAAGGUGAAAGAAAAAAGAAUGAACAGACUGGAUGAAGAGACUCCUUUGAUGGAAGCACUGGAAUAGCCUGGUACAAAAUCCUGAGGAUCUCUAUCAGAGGAACAGGAGAGUUCUUCUAGGAGCAGUAGUAAAUCUCUAAAUGUGUCAUCAAGACUCCCUGAAAUGCUCCCAUACAGUCUGUCAAAUUAAAUGUAAAUAGCUUGGAAUAAAAGACUUGCAUUGAAGACAUCUGGAGAGUGCUGUGCCGUGACUCUGAACUCAGAGGUUGCUCAUGUAAAUGCCCUUACAGACAAUGACAGCAAAUGGCUAUGUUACUGAAGAAAUAAAUGCUCAUUAGAUGCUCAGAUAAAACCGAUGGAUCUGAACAAAAUGGCACCUCAGCUUGAACCUUCAUAUGGCAUUGCUUCUCUUGGAGUCACUUAUUCAUAGGCUGAAACAGAUAUGAAAUCUAAUCACCCCAUGGCCCUUCCAGCAUCUAGGAAGCAAAAUGCAAGGAAAAAGAUGGCUCCUUCAACUCAAGCUCUCAUAUGUUGCUGUUCAUCCUGUCAGUAGACUUUGUUCAAGGUAGUAAUGAAAUAUGGGAGGAACACGAUGCAGGCUUAAGCUCCAAGCACAGCCCGCAUGCACGUGCCAGGCUCGUCCUCUGAGAGUCAACAGAUAUUUCUUGAAAAGGAAGAGAGGUUCAGUUCCUGGAGUAUAUCCAUUCUGCAUAGAUUUGGCAAACGUUGAUCAUACCUAUCUUGUGCUUUGCCUCUGUAAGAAGCAGAGACCCAAGCCAACUUCCUCCAUAUGGUCACAAUGCCUAGAGCCACAGUCAGUUUGGGAAUAUGCUGGCACCAAGAAAAAGAAUAACUGUCAGGCUGAGUGCCAUGAUCUGCCCCAUUUUAAAUAUUGCCUACGAGUGGGCAAGAAACUGCUUCAGAGUACUUCCAGCUGCAGCUGGCAACUGCAUCAAGAAGUCCGGUCUCUGGAUACCCAAACCUGGUCACCAUAAGUACACUUCGUUCACAAUCCCAUAGCAAAGCGGUGGCUCCUAUUUUCCUCUCCUGUACAAUUUUACAAGAGGAUUCCUAGAGCAUCAACAGCAGUAGCCUUUAAGGAAAUACAUGCACACAGACGUGUGAAAUUCCUGCUAGCUACAACAGUCCUGGCUUGCGGUGGGAAUGCUAGCAGGAACCAUUGGGAAACUCAUCUGGAAUGACCACCAUUCAAAGUGGUUUUAAUCCAGUCAGACUCACUCAACAUUGGAGUCAGGUUGGAAGAACCCCAUGAGGACUUCUGGUAUCUGUUCUUUCCCAGCUCUGCUCAUAUCCCAACCAGUUUGGCAUAUUCCUGGAGGUAUUUUUUCUUUAUUUUUUUUUCCUGAGUGGGCACAGCUCCACCUCAUGUCAUCAGAACUUUGUUUCCCAUUGGCAGCCCUUCCC
ensembl:lncRNA